rnacentral:lncRNA from 1 species
GAUUGGUUCAAGGGUGGGCUUGUAACCUAGUUUUGACCAAUGAGAUGUCACUUCCCCUGGAGGUUUCUGGGAAAGUUUUUUGUUAAUCCUGAAAAGGAGGGAGAAGAGGAUCAUUUCUUCACCUGGACACUGUCAUUUCUGCAUGUGACGUCUGGAACCUAUGUAUUCAUCUUGGGACUUAAAAGAAUUAAGGAGAGGACAGAGCUGAUCUAUUGUAAAUGAUGACAUGCAACUGGGGAAUGCUUUGUCCCUUGCGUUGUUUCAGAGUUACUGAAUUACCGACUUGGAGGGGCUCCAAUUUUGUGUUAGUCAUGUAAUACAUUUUCUUAUUGUCUAAGCCAUUCUGAGUUGAUGUUUCUGCUGUAUAAAGCUGAAAAUAGUUUUCAAAUGCAAAAUUUCACUUCUCUGGUUAAAACUUCUCAAUGAUUUCCCUAUGCCCAUAAAGGUCAAAAGCCACUGGCAUGGCCUGUAAGGCCCCACCCCCUCGGGCUCCUGACUGCCUUCCUGCUUCCUCUCCUGUGCCUUGUUUCUCAUCAUCCUUGCCACCCUUUUUUAAUGUGCCAUGGUCCUCUUGCCUCAAGACUGUGGCAGAUGCUAUUCCCUAUGGAAGAAUGCUAUUCCUUCUACUUUACAUGAACAUGCCAUGGCUGGUCCACUGGUCCAAAGAGGAUAAAAUAGACAUGGAGCAGAACUGGAUCCAACCUGCUGCUUAGAGACACCCAAUUGAGUCCAACCUAGAUCAGUUUCUCUUGGAAACUGGAUCUGACUCCCAUAAAGAAGCCCAUGCUAACCUGCUAAAGAAUAAGACCAUACGGAAGAAAGAUGAGUUGUUUAACUGGGGCCAUUCUGGACUAUCCAGCCUACAGCAAACCCGCCAGCUGACUGUAGAUGCGGGAGCAAACCCAGCCAAGAUCAGCCAAGAUCAGCCAAUCCCAGCAAAGACAAGAAGAACAUCCUAGGUGGCCAAUAAACUUUUGAUCAAAAUAAAUCCUUUAUGUUCUACACCA